rnacentral:rRNA from 1 species
UAUGGAGCUUUAAACAAAAAUAGAUCUUGUUAAACAUAUCUUAAUUAAAGAAGUGAACCGAAAGAAUCCUAUCAUUAUGUUUUUGGUUGGGGCGACCGCGGGGAAACAAACAACCCCCAUGUGGACUAAGAAAACAUUUCUCACAAUAAAGAGCCACAGCUCUAAUUUAACAGAAUUUCUGACCUAUAGAUCCGGCAAUGCCGAUCAACGGACCGAGUUACCCUA